AGUACUGUAUAUUCAAUAUAAGAAAGAAAGACUGAAAUAAAUAACACUAAGGAUAGUAAGGAUAAAGGCAGGGUUUGGAACGCCGUACAACUACCUUGCUAUCACCGAAAAUACUCAGAAGCUGCUGAAAGCUCUCGCUCUGAUGCUCUGGCGUCUGGAUCUACAGAUUAGGUGGAGUAACAUGAGUAUGACAACUCUAACCAAAGUAAAUAAGUUCUGAGUGUAGUGACGAGCAUUUAAAUCAUAUACAUAACAUAAAAUCUCAACGGAAAUAUAAAAGUGAAAUUCAUAGUUAAAUUUCCAAACAGCUCGUAAAAACUUCAGUUUCAAUGAAAGUUAUUUAAUACAUUUGUUCAUCACAUCUUCAAUAGAGGCCCAGUAUAAAAGACGAGUGAAACCGUAAUUUUAUAAACAAUUCCCUCGGGAAAAGCAUCACUCAUAUAUAUAUAUAUAGCCCCUGGAGCAGCCUCUCAGUCACUUGUGACUCAGCUCUCGUCAACCAGCACUCUCACUCAACACUCCCUCAAGAGAUAUAUCAUAAUUAAUAACCGUUACAGUGUGCAGCUUGAUCCAUAAAUAUAUAGUUGACUAGGCUCACUAGGGGUGUACAGACACCGGAGGGGCUCCUACAGCCCAAGCAAUAUAUCAUUGCGGCAUAUAGCCCCGAUCCAACAUAUUGUUGUGGUGUAUAGCCCGAUCCUUAUAAAUAUCAUAUCCCGAUCCAUAUAUAUAUAUAUAUAUAUAUAUAUAUAUAUAUAUAAUCAUCACCAUCCAGCCCUUGGCCCCUCUAAAUCACCAAUCUCACAGCCGCUCGGGCAUUUCAGUGAAAAAUCAGGAAAUCUCAGCCUAAAUAACUUUCAAAUAUUUAAAACAGAGUAAUGAAACUAAAUAAAAAAUAAACAAAUAAAAAUCAUGACUGAGUAUAUUUUUAACAUUCUGAGGGAAGUUGUAAAAUACCCCUGAGGGCCCAAACAGAUUGGCGCAAGGCCACAAAUAUGGCAUUUAGCCCAAAUUGACAGAUUCAUUUCUAAAACACAUAGAUAUCACAUAGAGUUUAUCAAAAUAGACAAUUCUAUAGUUGUCACGAGAUGAACCAAGUCACAAUCCCUACGGAUGCACGCCCACACGCCCGUCACCUAGCAUGUGUGUCACCUUAUUUACCAAAACAAUACAAAAAUUUGGGGUUUCAUAUCUUCAUGUCUAGAUUUACAAUCGUUACUUACCUCGAAUCGGAUGAAAAUCUAUUCCGCGGUGCCUUUGCCACUCGACUUGGCCUCAAAUCUCCCUGAAUCUAUCCAAAAUCAGAAUCAUAACAUCAAUAUAUGCUAAGAGAACAAAUCCCAUGCGAAAAUAAUUAAAUUGCAUAAAAAAUCCUGAAAUUGGUCAAAUCCGACCCCCAGUCCCGCGUCUCAAAAUCCAAUAAAAAUCACAUCACAUAAUCCUUAUCCUCCUACGAGUCCAUACAUAACCAAGAACAUGCCUCAAACCCGCUAUUUAAACUCUCCAAUUUUUAACCUUUAAAUUCCAAUAAUUUUAUGUCUAAUCAAUUAGAAAUCACCACAGAAUUGUGUAUGAUUUCAAACACCUUACCUUCAAGUGAUACCCCCCAAUCGCUCUUCAAUUCCUCUCAAAAAGCUCUAAGUCUGUCUCAAAAAUGGUGGAAAUGGGUAAAAAUUCGCGAAGAGAAGCUUUUAUACUUUCUCACCCGGGGAUUUCGCACCUGUGGUCCUUUUCUCGCUCCUGCGGUACCGCUUUUGCAGUCUAACAAACCGCAUUUGCAGUUUUCACUUAUUUCCCUUAAACAGCACAUGCGCCUCCCUACCUGCACCUCCGGUUACGCAGGAGCGUUCCAUCUUCUGCACCUACGACUUCUGGACUUCUCUCUUAUAGCCGCAUAUGUGGCUGCUCUAGCGCUCAUGCGGUCUCGCACCAGCAGUCUCCAAUCCGCAGGUGUAUUUACGACAGGUGCAACAGCUGAAGCUGCUCAAUUUCAAAAUUAAACUUUCCGAAAAUCUUCCGAAUUUCUCCUGAGGUUUCUGGGACCUCAACCACAAAUACGAACAAGUCACAUAUCAUCAUUCAAACUCACACCAAACCUCGGAACACCCAAAACAACAUUGAAACAUCAAAAUACCCUCGAAUUCAAGCCUAAGAAUUCAAAAAAACUUCCGAAUUUUGCAAACGAUCAAAAUAUCAAACCUCAUCCAAAAGACCUAAAAGUUUUCACACACAUCACAAAUGACAUAGCGAACCUACUCUACUUUACGGAAUUCCAUUCUGACCCAUAUAUCAAAAUUUCCAGUACCAACCAGAAAACGCCAAAAAUCCAAUUUUUCCAAUUCAAGCCUAUAUCUACCACACACCUCCAAAUUACAUUCCGAUCACGCUCUUAAGUCCAAAUCACCUAACGAAGCUAUCCAAACCAUAAAGCCACAUUCCGAGAUUAUUUACCCACAAGUCAACUUCCAGUUGGCUUUUCCAACUAAAUGGCCAACUUAAGAGACUAAGUGUCUCAUAUCACCCCAACACUACUCCAAACCCAAACCAACCAACACGAUAUGAUAAAAGUUUUCUAAACAAUACAUAAAGAAGCAUAAAUGGGGAAAACGAGGAUAUAACUCAUGAAACAACUAGCUGGGUCGUUACAUCAUCCCCCUCUUAAACAAACGUUCGACCUCGAAAGAGUUAAGAAAUAUACUGAAGCCCCAAAUAGGUGAGGAUAUCCACUCCGCAUCUCCCACUCGGUCUCCCAGGUAGCCUCCUCUACGGGCUAACCUCUCCACUGCACUUGCACUGAAGGUAUAUCCUUUGAUCUCAAAUUUCGAACCCGACGCCCCAAAAUAGCCAUUGGCUCCACAUCAUAAGUUAAAUCACCGUCUAAUUAAACCGUGCUGACAUCCAAAACAUGAGACUUACUACCAAUAUACUUCUGGAGUAUAAAAACAUGGAAUACCGGGCGCACACUCGACAAGCUAGAUGAGAAUGCCAGUUCAUAAGCCAGAUCACCAAUCCUCCGAAGUACCUCAAAAGGCCUAAUGAAUCGGGGACUCAGUUUACCCUUCUUCCCAAAUCUCAUAACACCCUUUCAUGGGUGAAACCUUUAGUAGAACCUUUUCCCCAACCAUGUGGGACACAUCACAAACCUUCCUAUCAGCAUAAUUUCUGUCUUGAUUGCGCUAUGUGAAGCCGCUCCGGCAUCACUUUCACCUUGUCCAGGUCAUCCUGCACCAAGUCUGUCCCAAAAUCUUAGCCUCGCCCGGCUCAAACCAACCAACUGGAGAUCUACAUCGUUUCCCAUAUAAAGUCUCAUAUGGAGCCAUCUGAAUACUCGACUGAUAAAUUUUGUUAUAUGCUAACCCUGCGAGCGACAUAAACUAAUCCAAUGAACCCCUAAAAUUAAUAAUACAAGUGUGCAACACGCCCUCUAAUAUUUGAAUAGUGCGCUUGGACUGCCCAUCCGUCUGAGGGUGAAAACCUGUGCUCAACUCAACCUGAGUACCCAACUCUCGCUAUACGACUCUCUCAAACUGCACGGUAAACUGAGUACCUCUAUCUAAUAUGAUGGAAACUAGAACCCUAUGUAGGCGAACAAUCUCUCAGAUGUAAAUCUCUACUAAUCGCUAUAAAUAAUAGAUAGUACACACAAGAAUAAAGUGCACGGACUUGGUCAGCCGAUCCAUAAUCACCCAAAUAGACAUGAACUUCCUCAAAGUCCGUGGAAGCCCAAUGAUAAAGUCUAUGGUGAUCCGCUCCCACUUCCAUUAUGGAAUAUCUAACAGCUAAAGUAAUCCACCCGGUCUUUGAUGCUCAUAUUUUACCUGCUGACAAUUGAGACACCGAGCUACAAAUCCCACAAUAUCCUUGUUCAUUAUCCUCCACCAGUAAUAUUGUCUCAAAUUUGGAUACAUCUUCGCAGUACCCAGAUGUAUGGAAUAAUGCGAGUUAUGAGCCCUUUCUAGCAUCAACUCCUGAAGUCCAUCCACAUUGGACACACAUAUCCGGCCAUGCAUCCUCAAUACCCCAUCAUCACCAAUAGUCACAUCUCUGGCAUCAUCGUGCUAAACUCUGUCCUUGAGGAUCAUCAUACCGGCGUUCUCUAGUGCGAUCAAACAAGGAAGACUAAGAAACUAUGCAAGCUAAGACCCGAUUGGGCUCCAAAAUAUCCAACCUCACAAACCGAUUGGCCAAGGCCUGAACAUCAACUGCAAGAGGUCUCUUCCCAAUAUGAAUAUACGCCAAACUACCCAUACUCACCGCCUACUUACUCAAAGCAUUGGUGACUAUAUAGGCCUUCCCCGGAUGAUAUAAGAUAAUGAUAUCAUAGUCCUUUAGCAGCUCCAACCAUCUUCGCUGCCUCAAAUUAAGAUCCUUCUUCUUGAACAAGUGUUGGAGGCUACGAUGAUCAGUAAACACCUCACAAGGCACACCAUACAAGUAAUGCCUCCAAAUCUUUAACGCAUGAACAAUGACAACCAACUAUGCAUCAAGAACAGGAUAGUUCUUCUCAUGGGGAUUCAACUAACAAGAAGCAUAAGCAAUCACUCUACCCUAUUGCAUCAACGCACACCCAAUACCAACUCUCGGAGCAUCACAAUACAUUGUAUAUGAAUCUAAAGCUAAAGGCAAGAUUAACACUAGAGUUGUGGUCAAUGCAGUCUUCAGCUUCUGAAAGCUUACCUCACACUCAUCCGACCACUGAAUAAAGCACCCUUUUGAGUCAAUUUGACCGAGGGUGAUGCAAUAGAUGAAAUCCCGAACAAACCGACGUUAAUAACACGCCAACACAAGAAAAUUGCGCAUCUCUAUGGCCGAGAACGAUUUGGGCCAACUAUGAACCACCUCUAUCUUCUUCGGAUCAACCUGAAUACCCUCUUUGGACACCACGUGUCCCAAGAAAGCCACUGAACUAAGCAAAAAUUCAUACUUUGAGAAAUUUGAAUAAAGAUUCUCCUCUCUUAACUGCUGAAAUACCACUCACAAAUUCUCCGCGUGCUCCUCCUGACUACGCGAGUACACCAAAAUAUAAUAAUGAAUACAAUGACAAACGAUUUGAGAUAAGGCCGAAACACGUUGUUUAUCAAAUGCAUGAAAGCUACUGGGGCAUUGGUCCGGCCAAAAGACAUAACAAGGAACUCAAUGACUAUAUCGGGCCCUGAAAGUCAUCUUAAGAAUAUCUGAGUCCCUAAUCUUCAAUUGGUGGUACCCCGACCGGAGAUCAACCUUGGAGAACACCCUCGCUUCUUGUAGCUGGUUGAAUAAGUCAUCAAUAUAAGGCAAAGGAUACUUUUUCUUGACUGUAACUUUUUUCAACUACCUAUAAUCAAUCCACAUCCUUAUCGUGCCAUCCUUCUUCUUCACAAAAGAACAGGCGCACCCCAAAGCGACACACUAGGCCUAAUAAAUCCAUUAUCAAGGAGUUCCUGAAACUACUCCUUCAAAAUCUUUAACCUCAGUCGAGGCCAUACGAUAUAGUGGAAUAAAAAUGGGCUGUAUCUGGCACCAUAUCAAUACCAAAAUCAAUAUCCAUGCUUGAGGGCAUGUACGACAGGUCUAUAAAAAACACAUUGGGAAAGUCCCUCACCACUGGAAUAAAAUCAAUAUUAGGGUCUUUGCACUGACAUCUCUCACAAAUGAUAAGUAUGAAAGAAAACCUUUGCCAACCAUUCGUUGGGACCUCAAAAAUGAAAUCACCCUACUAGGGACAAAAUCAGUCGAAUCUCGUCACUCAACCCGUGGCACUCCCGGCAUAGCCAAUGUUACUGUCUUAGCAUGACAGUCCAAUAUAGCCCGACACAAAGAUAGCCAAUCCAUGCCUAAUAUCACGUUAAAGUCCACCAUAUACAGCAACAAAAGGUCCACUCGGGUCUCCAAACACCCGAUAGUCACCACACACGACCAAUAUACGCGAUCCACAAUAAUAGUAUCGCCUAUCGGAGUAGAUACACGAACAAAGAAAACAAGAGACUCAUGGGGCGUAUCCAUAACGAGAAAAAUACGAUGACACAUAUGAAAAGGUGUAACCAGGAUCAAAUAACACAGAGGCAUCUCUAUGGCAAACUAAGACAAUACAUUAAUCAUCAUAUUUGAAGGAAUGUUGUCUUGUUUGGCUGGGAGGGCAAAUAAAUGGGCCUGACUGCCACCUAAUCGGCUUCCCCCUCUAGGGUGACCCCUAGCUAACUGACCCCCGCCCCUAGCUACCUAGGUGGGUGGUGAAGUAACUAGAGUUGAAGUCGAGGGCUAACUCAUCUGUUGAGAUAGAACCUUAUGAAGACGAGGAUACUGCCUCUUCUUACGUCCAAACCCUCCACACUCGUAAUAACUCCCUAGUGGAGGGAACGAGGAAUGACACAAGAUGACCUACAAAAUGGAAUAUUUUACUUAUAGAAUUUGACAUAAUAUAUGUGACUCGAACCGUGAUGAAGGCCCAAGAACUUCCCAAUCAUAUGGUCGAGAACCCGUUGGAUGAAGAGUAUGAACCAUUUGGAUCUUAUUUUAAUGAUAAAGAAGUAUUGAAUAUUGACAAGGUCGAGCAGGAUGAGAAGCCAAGUUGGAAAAUUCAUUGAUGGAGCAGCAAACAUGAAAGGUGUUGGAAUAGGGGCUGUGCUCAUUUCUAAAAUAGGGCAUCACUACCUUGUUACGGUCCAGCUUCGUUUCUAUUGUAGAAACAACAUGGCUGAGUACGAGGCAUGCAUUCUGGGAUUGUGGUUAGUUGUAGAUAUGGGAGUCAAGAAAGUCUUGGUUUUGGGAGAGCUAGAUCUUUUGGUACACCAGAUUUAGGGAGAAUGGGAGAAUCUGGAUUUAAAGCUCAUACCGUAUCGACAAUUUUUGCAUGAUAUUUGUCAACGAUUCCGAUCAAUAGAAUUCAUGCUUAUUCCAGGGUUCCACAAUGAGGUGGUUGAUGCCUUGGCUACCAUGGCAUCAAUGUUGCACCAUCCAGACAAAGCUUAUGUUGACCCUUUGCAUAUUCAAGUUCGUGAUCAGCAUGCCUACUGUAAUGUGGUGGAGGAAGAACUUGAUGGUGAACCAUGGUUCCAUAAUAUCUGAGAAUACAUUAGGAUGGGGGUAUUUCUGGUACAGGCCUCAUGUGAUCAAAAGAGAACAAUUCGAUAUUUGGCUAGCGGAUUUUCUUGAGUGGGGAAUUUUAUACAAAAGAACUACUGAUCUUGGACUGUUGAGGUGCAUAGAUACGAAACAAGCCAUGACUAUAAUGACCGAAGUGCAUUCCGAAGUUUGCGGACCGCAUAUAAGUGGGUAUGUUCUGGGAAAAAGAUCCUUCGAGCAAGAUAUAAUUGGCUCACCAUUGAACGACAUUGCAUCAGAUUUGUACACAAGUAUCAUCAAUGCCAGGUACAUGGUGAUUGAUUCAUUCCCUACCAUCUGCGUUGCAUACAAUUUCUGCACUUGGGCCUUUUGUUACUUGGGGCAUAGAUGUCAUCGGACCAUUUGAACCAGCGGAAUAAAAUGGGCACUGGUUCAUUAUGGUGGCCACUGAUUAUUUCACUAAGUGGGUUGAAGCUUUAACUUUCAAAUCCGUGACCAAGAAUACACUGGUUGACUUUGUUCACUCGAUUUGUCGGUUCGGAAUUCCAAUGGUAAUCAUCACAUAAAAUGGUGCUAAUCUUAACAGUAAUUUGAUGAAAAAGCUAUGUCAACAGUUCAAGAUACGCAUCGAAAAUCCACUCCGUAUCGCUCCAAGGAAAAUGGAGCGGUUGAGGCAGCCAACAAGAACAUAAAGAAAAUACUUCAGAAAAUUGUGCAAGGUUCUAGGCAAUGGCAUGAAAAUUCGCCCUUUGCUUUGCUGGGUUACCGCACUACUAUUCACACUUCACUAGGUACAACUCCUUAUUUGUUGGUAUAUGGAACUGAAGUAGUGAUACACGCGGAAGUUGAAAUUACAUCCCUUAAGAUUAACCGAAGCUGAAAUUGAUGAUGAUAAAAGGGGUCAAAACCUGUUUGGAGCAAUUAAAUUUGAUUAACGAGAAAAGACUGGCAGUAGUGUAUCGUGGUCAAUUGUAUCAAAAGAGAAUGGCGAGAGCAUACAACAAGAAGGUGCACCCCCGAAAAUUUGAAGUGGGUCAGCAAGUGUUGAAAUCCGUCCUUCCACAUCAUGCUAAAGCUAAAGGCAAGUUUGUCCCAAAAUGGUAGGGGUCGUUCAUUGUAACGAGAGUGUUGUCCAAUGGUGCUUUGUACUUAACAGAUAUAGAGGGAAAAUGUGUAGAUAUGGCUAUCAAUUCAGAUGCGGUUAAAAGAUAUUAUGUAUGACUUCUUUGAUUUGUUUAAUUGUUGUUUGUACUUGGCAUGUUUUGAAGAUUGCAAUAAUGAAGGAAUUUUAUUCUAUUAUCUAAAAACUUUAUCCUUUGUCACCGCUUUUGAGCCUUGUUUAUUUUCUUUCGUACACUUCUUUUGGAAUCAGAAACAGAGUUUAGAAAUACAAAUAUAGAAAAUAUAAAUAAAAAAAAGAGAAGCAAAAAGAAGAAAAAGAAAAAUGGAAAAUUAGAAAGGAAAAAGAAAAGAAAAGAAAAAAAAAGAAAAAAAAGGAAAAGUAACAAAAACAAAGCAAUUCCUAUGUCAUGAACUAUGUUUGACCUGAUUUCUUUUAAGGACACAUAGGCAGCCUCACGGUUCGGUCCCAUCAAAAUAAAAUUCAAAAGUCCCUGGACAAGGAAAUUGGGGUAGAAGUUGCGGUUCUGUAAAAAAUCUGAUUCCAAAAAUUGUAAUUAUGAACCCAGUUAAGCUGUUUCGAGCCUUUACGACAGACUUUCUUUCUAACCCUAUCCAAAAGCCUACAUUAUGAUCCAAAGAAAGACCUUCCGAUCCAUAUUUGAGGAAUUCGAAGUCAAGCGAGAUAGAUGUAUGAUUCACAUCAUGAGCAACACGUCGUUCCAAACAAGGAAAAGUAAAUGAGAGACUACUAUUUGGUGAAAAUCCUCACGGUACCAUAGGGAGAGAAAUUAAAAUAAGAGAGUUUUAUUGGUGAAAACUCUCACGGGCACUGUAAGGAAAUGGUGAGUGGAGAGAUAAAUGAAUGAGAGAAGUUUGUUGGUGAAUACCCUUCAGGGCGCCACAAUCCAAAUAAGGUUGACUUUGCAGAGAAAUUGGAUUACGGGAAACCCGGGCGUAAAGUAUGAAGACUGAAAGAUGAUUGGUGGAAUAGACUAGGCUGAUUAAUCCAAAAUGUAUGUCAUGAUCAUUGGUUCUAGUUGUUGACUCAGAUAAGUCUCUUUUCCUUUUCUUCCUCAAACAGUCAUCCUGUUUCGAAUUUUCUCCUUUAUCUCUAACUUUCGAAGUUAUUGCAUUUCAUUUUUUUGGGUUUACUUCUCUAAGGCUUAGUCAAUGUUAGCCUUUCUUUAAGAAAGUAAGAAAGGAUUUCAAAGCUUGAUACCAACUUUUAUGUUGCAUAAAGCAAAGUACGGCCAAAGCAAACCAGAAAUAGCACUACGCAAAAUGAAAAAUAAGGUGUUAAUGGAAAUUCAAGUGGUCGAGUGGUUUCAUGAAUUUCGGGAAAAAUACAGAGGUUCAAAUUGGAAGGACAGAAAUGUAAAAUAUCAAUUUGAGUGUAGAGCACUUGGGUCAUUCAGGGUCCUGUGGUUGAAGUUCAGUCAGAAGGUCAAACAAUUCUUUGCCAGUCAAAGGUGUGAGCAUAUGAUUUUUGCCCGGUUGAGAUGACUCCUACAUGAUUCUCAAGUUUAGGAUUUUUCCUUUUAAAUAUUUAUUUUUAGGAUUUAAUUGCGCGUGUCAUUGUUUCAUUAAUGCAUGCAUAAAAUCAUAAAAAAUAUACAGAAUUGCACAAACAUUUAGGAUUUAAUUUCAUAGUUUUGCUAGAUUAAUUGGUAAUUAGGGUUAUAUUUGCAAAUACAAAAAUCAUAAAAAUUAAGUAUUAUUUCCGGCAUUUUAAUUCUUUUGCAUUUUUGUGUUUAAUUUUUAUUUGUUGCAUUUUUAUUUAUUUUUGCACAAUGGGUAGUUAUUAGGUUGUUUUAGAUCAAUUAGAAUUUUUAAAAUACAAUUAGGAAUUAAAAAUAAAUAAGAAAACAAAAACAAUUGGAUUUUCCUAAUAAACCACCCAGGCUUGCCACAAUUGGGCCAAACCUGGGGGGCCCAAUCCAAUUAAACCCUAUAAAAAUGCCCCAUGUCCAGCCCAAUAGUUGGUCCCCGACCCAGUCCACAAGAGAUGCCCAAAAUGAUACCGUUUUGGGGCAAUUCAUCUUAACCAUUGAUCGUAGGCCAUCUAACAGUCCUGAAACUACCCCCAAGUCCAUAUAUAUGUCCAAACCCCCUUUGUACACUCAGAAACCAACGAAACUUCUUCUUCGUACAUGUAACGCUGGUGUAUCACCACCUCGUCACCACCAUAAGACCACCAUCUACCACCCAUCAACAACCCUGACGCCGCCGCCGGAAAUCGCCUAACGGCGGCCGGUAACCAAACGGCCUCAGAAUUACACCACCAGACCACCUCGACCUCCUCUUUCCUUUCCCACCGUAAGUUUCUUUCAAUCAAUCCUCAAACUCUUCGAAUAUUUGACAGAAGGUCUACCGUCACCACCAUCUCCGGCAACCCAACCCUGAACCAACCCAAAAUAACACCCCUGAACCACCUCCCCUCCCUCCUUCGAAUCCUAUCAGAUCGUCUCAAAUAUCAAAUCGAAAUUAACCCUAAAACUCACCAGAACCCCGUGAAAUUGGUCCUAGGUCACCGUCUCCUAUCCAUAUGCACAACCCUACCACCCACAACCCUCAAAUACAACUGGGCACAAUGGAAAACCAAAUCUGAGACCUCAUCUUUAUCUCAAAAUCAACGAACCCUCCCCCUAACCCUUUUUCCCUUUUCAAUACUUAAGGCGAAAGCCUUAGAAGUUAAAAGACCUCUCAAAAGAGGUCAAAGAACCAUGGAACUGGAUGAUUUUCAAUUUAGUGUUACCAUGCCAAAAGAAAGCUAAGUCUUUGUGCGCUCGUUUUUUUGUGAUUUCCUAUUGAUUUUAUUUGGAUUUUGUCUUCAUUUGCUUGAGUUCAUCUAUUUAUCUUUGAAUUUAUAGGCCUUCUCUUGCUUAUUGUUGCUCGUUCUCUAUCUCUUCAUCUUCAGAACAUGUUGGAUAGUCAUUUUCAUCUAAAGGCACAUGUUCCUGAGUUUUUAUUUGUUGCAUUUGUGAUUUUGAACAAUUACUAUGUGUUCAUCCUUGAUUCCUUUUAUUUCCAAUCUUUUUAUAUAUAUAGCUAUUUGUUCAUCUUUGGAAACUUUGAGUAGUUGUCGCCAGUAGAAUCACAUACUUGUCGUAACUUUUCUUUAUUUACAGUUAUUAAGUUCCUUUUGCUUUAUUCGUUUAUUGCUAUAAUCUCGCGUGUUUUCUCUUCUAUUUGUUUUUUUUGCUUUGAGUAAUCAUGUGUUCAUCCUUGAUCUCCUUUCCUUUUAUUGUUGCAUGUUCAAAUUCAUUAGUUUAUUUUAUCAUCUCUGAGGUACCAUAAACAGUGAUUUCCAUCCAGAGUUACAUGUUCAUCCUUCUUUUCUUUUUCUAAUGCUUUAUAUUCCUGAUUAUCCAAUAGCUGUUAUAUGUUCGUCUUGUAAUCUUUUUUUAAUCUCCUCCAUUUUAUUUUGUUUGAAAUCCUGGUUUAGGUACUGUCAUCCAGAGUCACUCGCCAUGUUUCUCUUUUCUGUUUGAUUUUUGAUUUUCCUUAUUCCCACUUGUUUCAUCUGUUCAUCUUUGAAAUGUCCUGAAUAUCCAUCUCUUUGCUUGUGUCUAAGUCUGGAUUACUUGUCUUGAAUGGUCUGCUUAACAUUUGAACUCGUAGCCUAUUCUUGUUAACAUUGUUUGGAUUAUUUUAGUGCCCCGCACUUCUGGAAUUUGUGUUAAUUCAGUUUUGUAGUUUUGCCUGAGUUUGAAGGUUGCAUUGUUUAAGUCUUGACCCCUGGAAGUAUGUUUUUCCUUAGUUUGCAAUUAAGUUGGCCAUGGCUACCCUUUCAGAACUUGAUCCUAGUUGAUAAUCUUAAUGUAUGAAUUGAAAAUAAGUAAGUAGGGACAAUUUCUGACCAAAUGAAUGAGAAUCCAAAAUUAGAAACUCUUAGGCCGGUAAUUAGGGAAAGGGAGAGAGGUAUUAAGGGCAUUUGAAUAUAGGGAAUAAUGUAACAAACUCCUAGAACAAUCUAGUGAGGGGUCUUAGUAUAAUUUCUGCCUCAAAACUUGAGGCACAAGUCGGAAAACCAAGGACUAUUUAGGCAAAACUGAAAAUUUGAUAAGGGGAAAACAAAGAAAUUGAGGUUGCCCUAAGGCUUCAGUUAUAAAAGGGGACAAUCUGAUCAUUUCAAGGGGUUGGGAUUAUUUUCGAGCCGAUUUUCAAAAAAGGAUUAGGGAGUUUUCUUCAGGCUUUUAGAGAGUUAGAAUAGAAUACACCUUAGACUUUCAUACACUAUUCAGAAAAUUCUCUUCGAGUUGUCUCUUCUGAGUGAAUUUUCCUUAACAGUCAAUACAAGUUCUGGGAUGUUUUAGAAGAUAUAUUGUCACUAUUUUCCUCUCAAAUUUCCUGAGUUCCUGGGUUUUUGCUGGUUGUGUGGUUGAUGUGUUUGCGUGCUACUCUCUUAACCUUACUCAUAGGUUCCAUUUUUUGCUGAAAUUCCAGGUAUCCAUCUUCACUCAAAAUCUGAGAAGCAGUAGCUAUGUACGUUCGAGAUUAUUAAGAUGAUAAUGAAGACAAUAAUUUUUAUAUAUAUCAAUUUCAUAUCAUGAGUGUUGUAUACCUUUCAGUAGCCUUAAUUUUAAUAUUGUAAUGUAUAUAAACUUGUAAAAAUACUGGACUGCGCGUGGAUUCUAACUUCAGUUUGUUUAGAUUUUGUUAAGAUUAACAUAGCCAAAACCGUGAUUUUGCCUAAUAUCCAUGAAUGAAGAUGUAGUAAGGAAUCAUGAUUCUAUAUGAAUAUUCUCUGAAUGAUGAGUAUUUCAGAUUUUUUCUAAAUACUAGAAUUGAAAUCUAAAGGGGGGACAAUUAGCUGGAAUCUGAUCGAUAUCUAGGGGCAAACCUGUCAUUAAGAUAGAGUCAGUGUCGGUAGCAGUUCUUGCUUAGCGGUAUCAGGUCACCAAUCGGUGACAUAGUUUAGGAAUGAAUAUCCGUAACUCCCAUUCCAGUACUUAAACUGACAAAAUGGAAUAAAAAAUCAAGACCUGGCUCAAGGCUAACCCCUCCACACUCAGGGUCAGGAACGGGAAAAGGAGAAUGAGUAGGACAGGCUCGAGGUCAAUUCUUUCUUUUAGGAGAGAUCACACACUCAGGGUCAGAAACGGGAAAAGGAGAAUGAGUAGGACAGGCUCGAGGUCAAUUCUUUCUUUUAAGAGAGAUCCCACCCCCUUCUUUAGCGCUUUUUCGUUCUAUAUGACUUACUUCUCGUUCUCGGUGAAGGAAUCAGAGCUGUUAUAGAAUCAGCAUCUUACUCUUUAAUGGCAAGCUCAGCAACGAGAAGUUUUCCUCUGCUGGAAAGCAGUCCUUCACGGAUAUGGGAGCUUACUUAGCUGUUGCUGGUUUAGUAAGCUAAGAAUUUCCAUCCUUUAUGAUUAUGAAAAAGGAAUGGAUAGAGAGGAAGGCUCCAGGGUUUGUUUCUCUUGGUGUCAACAUAGGAAUGGAAACAGUUUGAAUGUAUGCCUUUUUCCCUUGUUGAAUCAGCCAAGUCAGUAGCCUUUCUUUUAUUCGGUAUUGCCUGUUGAUGCAAGGAAUAAGGGCUAGCUUGAUGCUAAGAAGAAGCUGGUGGAGGAAUAACGACAUCUAAAUCAUCUGCUGCACAGUAGUACGUAUUAGGCAAAUGGGAUUUUGCUUUCCUAGGCUGAGGAGCGUAGUCAGAGGUCUUUGGUGCCUGAAUGCUUGACUUAGAGCUUGAACUAGGGGCAAUCCAGCAACCAUUUCAACUGGAUACCAUCAAGAGGGCAAGAGAGGAGGAGCCGAUGAAAUUCUUUCGGAGUUCUUCCCCGCUGACGUCUAAGCUCUCAAGGACUCGGAUUAGUCAACAGGAAUGAAAUCUAAGAAAGCUGGUAGCUCGAGCGAGGAGCGGAGCCUAGCCCUAUAGCUAUAGGCUAUAUAAUAUUCUAUUUCCUCCGCUUUGAAUAGUUAGAAUCAAACUCAUUGCUCAUUCAUUAAGAGCUCUUGUCGGUAAAGUAGAUCUAGAUCGAGAGAGAGAAUUGGCUUCUCGAGAAUCCGCUGGAGUCAGAUCAGUAGAGGAGUUCACACCAGGACAUUCCGCUACGAGCCAUACCCAGCGGGAUACAUAUUGCCCAAAUGGAGCCUAAAAGAUGGGAUGGGUGAUCCAUAAGAUCAUUUGGCGAGGUUCAUCCCUCAGCGUGGGGAUCUUUCUGGAAAUAAAAACUUGUUUUGUUGAGGCAAUUUCCCUCGUCGCUUACCCGCAUUUCUCUUGGUAUACCCACCUGUGUGCCUCCUAAUUCCGUGAAGUCCUUGGAGCAUGUGCGAUUUAUUCAGGAUCCUUGUCAAGAAAGAAGUCAGUCCCUUAUUCUUUAUUUUAUGUUAAAAGGUCUGGACUCGAAGAGGGAGUCGAUUCACGUACUUCACCAUUUCCUGGGUCGUUAUCGCCUUUCCCCGGUUCAGGGUAUGGGUUCUUUCUCUAUUAAGAAAGUCCCGGUGUGAACUCCCCUACUGAUCUGACUCCAGCGGAUUCUCGAGAAGCCAAUUCUCUCUCUCGAUCUAGAUCUACUUUACCGACAAGAGCUCUUAAUGAAUGAGCAAUGAGUUUGAUUCUAACUAUUCAAAGCGGAGGAAAUAGAAUAUUAUAUAGCCUAUAGCUAUAGGGCUAGGCUCCGCUCCUCGCUCGAGCUACCAGCUUUCUUAGAUUUCAUUCCUGUUGACUAAUCCGAGUCCUUGAGAGCUUAGACGUCAGCGGGGAAGAACUCCGAAAGAAUUUCAUCGGCUCCUCCUCUCUUGCCCUCUUGAUGGUAUCCAGUUGAAAUGGUUGCUGGAUUGCCCCUAGUUCAAGCUCUAAGUCAAGCAUUCAGGCACCAAAGACCUCUGACUACGCUCCUCAGCCUAGGAAAGCAAAAUCCCAUUUGCCUAAUACGUACUACUGUGCAGCAGAUGAUUUAGCUGCCGUUAUUCCUCCACCAGCUUCUUCUUGGCAUCAAGCCAGCCCUUAUUCCUUGCAUCAACAGGCAAUCCCGCAUAAAAGAAAGGCUACUGACUUGGCUGAUUCAACAAGGGAAAAAGGCAUCCAUUCAAACUGCUCCCAUUCCUAUGUUGACACCAAGAGAAACAAACCCUGGAGCCUUCCUCUCUAUCCAUUCCUUUUUCAUAAUCAUAAAGGAUGGAAAUGCUUAGCUUACUAAACCAGCAACAGCGGAGUAAGCUCCCAUAUCCGUGAAGGACUGCUUUCCAGCAGAGGAAAACUUCUCGUUGCUUCUUUUUCAUAAUCAUAAAGGAUGGAAAUUCUUAGCUUACUAAACCAGCAACAGCUAAGUAAGCUCCCAUAUCCGUGAAGGACUGCUUUCCAGCAGAGGAAAACUUCUCGUUGCUGAGCUUGCCGUUAAAGAGUAAGAUGCUGAUUCUAUAGCAGCUCCGAUUCCUUCACCGAGAACGAGAAGGAAGUCUUAUAGAACGAACAAGCGCUAAGAAGGGGGUGGAAUCUCUACUAAAAGAAAGAAUUGACCUCGAGCAUGUCCUGCUCAUUCUCCUUUUCCCGUUCCUGACCCUGAGUGUGGAGCGGUUAGCCUUGAGCCAGGUCUUGAUUUUUUAUUCCAUUUUGUCAGUUUAAGUACUGGAUAUCGAUAGUUUAAGUCUAAAUUAUCGACUCUAGUUAAUUGUCCCCCUUUCCAAGUGUGAUUUCUAUCUUAUGUAUGGCCGUGCCUAAGGGCAUAUUGAUGUGAAAUCAUUAUCAUCCUCUUGUUUUAAAAUACCUUCAGUACACUUCAACAUGAUUAUUUGUAUAAUUUUGCGACGGUAAUAUAAUCAGUAAAAAAAGGGUUGCUAUAAAUUUCCUACAACAGACUCAUAGUCCAAUGUUUCUGGGGUUUAUCGAAAGGCCCAACUGUUAGCAAUUGUAACAUGAAGAAUAUACACUUCAUGUGUUGGCUAUUAAACGAAGCCCAAGUUACAUAACCUGCCAUGAAUGGGACUAGAAAUGUAAGUGUUAAAUCUCUCUAAAUGCAUCCCAUGUGUAUGAAUUUUAGGAUAUUUGUACAUACAAGCAUAAUAGAAAACUGUAGUAUGCUUUAUUUUGCCUUUAUAAAAUAAAGUGAGCCACACUAACUUAAUCAAACACUACGUGAGGCUCAUGAACUUAAUAAAAUACAUAGAAAGUUGGAAGUGUUGUUUAACGAAUUUCACAGCCUUCCACAAACUUCUAAACGCGUAGUUGCUAUAGGCGUGAAUUUAUUAAUAAAAUAUCUUCCUAAACUCGGGUGCGCAUUUAUGUAACCUAAAUCCAAGUCUCAACGAUGUUAAAAAGUAUCGAGAACCCGGGUGCAUUUAUGUGACGUGGUUCGAGGCGUGUUUUAAUAACGUUGUAAAUAUUCCUAAAAUGACAUCAGGCAGUUAAUAACUUUAAAAUUGUACUAUAGGUUGGAACAUGUAUAAAAAUAAGAUUCUUAGUCAUUUAUAAUAGUUUAAGCGACCGUGCUAGAACCACGGGAUCGAAGGGUUCCUAACACCUUCCCUCGGGUCAACAGAAUUUUUGGUUCGCACACUCCAUUUGGGCAGUUGAAAAAAUUUCCUCGAUUUGGGAUUCUAAAUAAACUGAUAACUUGGGACACCAAAAUCCAAACCUAUCCCAAGUGGAAACUCAUAAUAAAUAAAUGAUCACAUUUCGAAUGAUGUCACUUUAAUUGGAAAAAUUCCCUUGUACGUGUCAUCAUUCGGGGUAGCCGUAUGAAAAAGGAGGUGUGACAAAAGGCAUCUAAUUAGAACAAAGCAUGGCAAUAGGAAUGCCACUUUCAGAAAGAAUGCCGCAAACUAACCACCGCAUUUUCAAACUAGUAAAAAAAAUUUGAUUGAAAUAGGGGCAGGAAAUUUCGUUUGUUCCAGAGGAACCUUCCAUGAGGAAAGCACGUACCAGAUAUGUUCGGCCGUAAAUCUUCAGGGCCCUCCUGGAUAAUGGAAUUUAGUAUAAAAAAUUUCAGGGCCUUCAUGGAUAAUAAGAUUUAAUUUUAAAAAAGUCCUCAGGACCCUCCUCGAUAAUGAGACCUAGUUAAAUUUCAAGACCUUCAUAGAUAACAAGAUUUAUAAGUUCUACCUUUAGGAAAUAUAAUUUAGCUUUAAAGUGUUCACUCUUAAGAUGAGAUUUAAUUUGAAAUUUUCAGGACCCUCCUGGACAAUGAGAUUUAGCUUUUAAAUUCCUAGAGCACUUUUGGGUAACAUGAUUCGAGUAAUACUCACAGAUGUGCCCAGAUACUAAACUGGGGCGGAAAAUUUUCUUUUAUUUUGUCUGUGUCGUUGUAAUGGUAGGCGUUCACCUAGAGAACAAGGGAAUACAGUUUUGGAAAGUAGGCACCCACCUGGAACACAAGGGAAUACAACUUGAAUUUUGGCAAUCACUCACUUGGACAACAAGGGAAUACAGUUCAAGUUUUGGCAAUCAGGCACCCACCUGGAAAACAAGGGCAUAUAGUUCAAGUUUUGACACUCGGGCGCCCGCCUAGAAAACAAGGGAAUGCAGUUCAAGUUUUGGCAAUCGGGCGCCCUCUUGGAGAAUAAGGGAAUACAAUUCAGGUUUUGCCAGGCGUCCACCUGGAGAACAAGGGAAUAUAGUUCAAGUUUUGGAAAUUAGGCGUCCAUCUGAAAAAUAAGGGAAUAUAGCUCAAGUUUUGGCAAUCAGGCACCCACUUGGAGAACAAGGGAAUAGAGUUCAAGUUUUGAAAAUCAGGCACCUACCUAGUUAAUAAGGGAAUACAGUUUCAAGUUUGGGCAAUCAGGAGUCCACCUGGAUAACAAGGGAAUACAGUUCAAGUUUUGGCAAUUAGGCGCCCACCUGGAAAAUAAGGGAAUUCAUUUCCGAUUUUAUUUUGAGUCAGCAACAAAACAAGCUCGCGUUGAGAGUGUGAGUCAAUAAUUCGAGAUGCACAACAAAACUGCAGAAGCGACAAGAUCAAGUCUGAAGUUGUGUAUUUAGGAUUCUUGUAAUCACUGAUCAUAGUUUAGCCUAGCUUCUUCUUAUUUUGUCUCGGUGUAUAAGAAGUUCAGCAAGCAGUAGUGGCAACGACAGUGAAAUCACUAUUUCUCGUUAGUCCCAUCUACCGAAACGUCCCGACUAUAUUGACCUGAUUUAUCUAUAGCUAAGGAUAUAUAGGUAACCUUGGAAGCAAGGUUCGAUUAGAUCUCCAAAAAAAUGCUUCCCACAGAGUAUUUCAACAGGCAAAAUCUCUCGUAUCCGCCCACUUUAUCUUUGCCUAAAAACACUUCGUGCUUCCUCGCAAAGAGGGGCAUCUGUGAGCACGUGAUUUUUACCCUAUGUGAAAUACUCCUACAAAUUAAAGAAAGGAAUUUUCAUAAUUUUUUUGCAAUUUUAUAGGAUUUUUGUAAGAUUUUUUAUUAAUUGUUUGUAUUUUUGUGCAUGUUUACUUUUAUUAAAAUCAUAAGAAAUACUAAAAAUAUCAUGCAUUGCUUUUAGAUUUUAUUUUAUAUUUUUAGGAGUAAUUAAUUAAAUUAAUUACUUUAUUAAAAAUGAAAAUACAAAAAAGGUUCAUUUUUGCAUUCUUAGCUUUUAAAUUUAGAUUAUUACUUUUAUCUUUUAAUCUAGGAUCAAUAAAUUUUAUAAAUAUAUAAUUUGAUAAUUAGUUUAAUUUUAUAACUUAGAUUAAAUUAGGGUUUAAUUUAGGAUUUUUAUUACUUAAAGAAAAGAAAAGCAAAAGCAAAAUAAAAAGGAUCAAAAAAAGAAAUAUAAAAGGGCUUAAAUUAAGUGUUGAAAUUGGGCUAGUUGCACCCGGCAUUUCCCCAAACCCAAGCCCAAACAAUUAAUUUACCCAAUCCAGCCCACCCCAUCUGAAGCUAAACGACACCAUCUCCAUGAUCAUUGAAUCCCAUCCGUUGAUUUCGUUUGAUCGAACGGAUGGAAACUAACCUUCCAUUUAGUAUACGACGUCCUAAACGGUCCAUCCCUCCCCCAAUUCAAACCCCCCCAUUCAGUCUCUACCCUAACCCAGAUAGAAUCCCUAGCCGCCCCCAAAUUGCCAAACCCCACCAGCCGACAGCAACACCCAAACCGCUCUAAACCGUCACCAUACAAUCACCAUCCACUCCUCUUUCAUAAUCCAUCACAAGUUUUUCCAAAAUUCUCACCAUUUGUCCCAAUUUCAAAUCUAAUCUCAAAGAAAUUGAAAACCUCUAAUUUGUCCCCCUUUCUGCGUUUCAAAUGGUUUGAAGGCUCGAUUUGAGUCGAAAUUUAUGUCAAUCGAUUGUUCUCAGUAAGAACAAUCGAUUAGCAUCAUUUUUGGCUCAUUUCAAGGCGCACCAAAUUUCAUGCAAAGUCAAAAAUGACUUGCCAAUCUUCGUCAAGCAUCAUCAUUCGUUGAUUCGCUUUGUUUGCUCAAAUGUUUCCGGCCAAAUUAGUAUACGUACAUUCCUUCCCUCUUUUUUUGUGUUUGUUUCUGUUCAUCUAUCUAUAGUUAAUCUGUUUGCUGUUGAUUAGUUCAAUCUUUAAAAAUAGGCUGAUAAGGUUAAUUUCAUGAUUUAGGAUUAAGAUUAUUUUCUUUUAUUCUGUUUGAUUUUCCGUCCUGGACGUAUUUAUUUAGUGUGGUCAGUAGUAUUGAAUUAUUUUUAACUUAUUAAAGUGUUUGGUUGAAUGGUUCAAUUAAUGUUCAGAUUUCUCUUUCUUUGUCUUUCUUCCUUUUCUUUUUUUUUCUCUUCUUUUUCUUUUGAUUAAUUAUCCAGUUGGCUUUUUAGGUCACAAUAUCUAGUUUGAUUUCGUUUAUUUCUCAUAUUUUUAUGUUGGGUCUAUUUUUAGUUUAUGGUUAUCUCUGGUUUGGACAGAAGAAGCCCAUUCGCAUGGGUUUGAGUCUUGGGUCAAUUUGACCCAUGAUUGAUUCGUUUAAGGUGUAAAUAAACGGUUGCCAGGGGGUACUUUGGGCGAUUUAGGUGUAGAGAAUAUUUUCUGUUAAGUAGGAAGCUUCUAGAGGAUAAGAGAAGACUUGCAUGCUAAGAAAUACAGGAUCUCAGAUAUUCUUUAAGGGACUAGGGGCUAAAAUAAAAGUGUUUGAGGGUUAAAAGUGACAUAAAAAAUCAAAGUUCUAUUGUCCUAAAGACCUCCUAUAAGAAGCUCAUUUUCCUGAUUUCUAGGGCAAUGUUUCAGGCCCUAAAACCCACCCCAAACAGUAGCUUUAUUGUUCCAUUAAGAUCUAAAAAAAUCUGAUUUGAAAGAAGAGAAGAACUUGAGUAAUUUCUUGGGAGCUCUGGUUUUGUUAAAUCAAAACAUGGAUUAAAUUGGAACUGUAUUACUGCUAUCAUUGGUUGUUGAGUUACCACUUUAUUUCCUCUUGUUGUUCUCCUAUUAACAUCACCUUCCUCACUUUGUUCUUGUUCUAUAACCAGGUUUUCUUUUUGGACUUUGUGUGGCUAUUGGAGUGCAAACGUAUUCUUCUUUAAGUGAUAUACCUGUAAUAUUGGAGUUGAUGUGCAAAUGUUAAUGGAAGUUGAUACUCAAAUGUUUAAACUUCAAUUUCGUUUUACGUUUGAUUCUUUCAAGUUGUUUAGUGUUUUGGAAUCUUCUUAGUUCAUUAUUUUUGUUUAAGUAUUUCAGAUUUGCAUGAUAGUCAAUAGUUCUUAGUUGGGAAUUUCACAUAUAAAUGUUUAAGUUACUCCAUCUUUUCAUGUAUUGCUCAUAAUAGCUCCAUUUAGAUGUUUCAUUAGAGGAUAUUAGUUAGUAUCUCACACAUGUUUGAAAGAUGCAUCGUGUGGCUGCUGAAUCCCUUCAGUUUUAUGGUUUUAGAUUUCAACAUUGCUAAAUGAAUCAUGUAUUUGAUGUCAAUAUGGUUGCUGAGUAGUUUAAGGCAUGUUUUAAGCUUAUGACUCGUUAUUAAAGGCAUGUCAAAUGAAUUAGAAGUCUAUAAUCUAAUUAUUCAAGUAUGUUUAAUUUCCAGAAUUUUGUAUAGUUUUGUAAUUCAGAAGUGCAUAAAAGCAAAUCACCAGAUUACAAGAACCCCAACCAGCACACAUCGACAGAGUAAUAAUUAGUUUGAACAAGGUUUCGCAUGGCCUUAAUCCAUUAGCUAUUACUAAGUUAACAUACAAGCAUAUGUUAAUCAGAGAACAAUAUGUUGGGAUAGAGAAUCAUAUAGAAAGGUAAUAAAGUUGACGAUAUAGAAAUCAUGAAUUAAUUAGGAGUUUGUUAAGCGAUGAACACUUAAAAUAGGACAGAGCUCAUGAAAGUUGAGAAACCAAAUAGACAUAGGCCUAACAGACAUGCUGAAAACAAGAAACACAUAGGUCUAAUUUCAUGGAAGUAGACAUGCUGAUUCAGAGUAAUAAAUAUGAAGCAUAUAUGUCUAAUUACAUAUGAUUAAAUAUGUUGAUUAAGAUCAAUAAGCAUGAAGCACAUAUGUCUAACUACAACAUAUUGAAUGGUGGCAGAAGUGGAGAUAUACCAGUUAAGAGAUAGUAAACAGAAAGUUAAAAAUAUGAAGGAUCUAAUAGUGUAGCCUUGGCUUUCAACCAGCUAGACAAUGUAGCAAACAUAAGUAACAGAAAGGUUUGAAUGAGAGCAAUAGUUUUUGUGUGUGUGUGUGUGUGUGUUUUUUUUUUUUUGAGUGUUUGUGUAAGUCUAAAUCUAUUUUGAAAAUUAUAAUAAGAAGAUUUUUAUAGCAUGCAAUAGGGUAGGUCACAUAAGGUAAUGAAUCAAUCACAUAUACAUAAGGUAUGAAAAUCAAUCAGCAAUCAAUCAUGAAUAAAUUAAGAGGACAAAGUCAAAUAAGUACCACUUAAUUUAAGAAAAAAUCUCACACAUAAUCAAUCCAUAAUUAAGAGCAAGGUUAAUAAGGUAAGAAACAGUUUCCAAAAUCAAUUAGGAAACAUGACACAUAAUCAAGCCAAUAAUACAUAUACAUAGAUAAGGUAAGAACAAGUAAAACUUAAAUAAGGAAAUAUGGGUACUAAAUUCAAACCCUAAUUUAGGUAAGUAAAUAAAUUAACAAUUUAAUUGAUAGAGUUAAAGGUAACGAGCGAAAGACAACGGGAUAAAUAGUCAGAGAAUCAAAAUCCUAGGAUAUGUCAAAGAUAUAGAGAUGAAACAAAAAAAAAGGAAUCGGUCCAGAUAGUAAAGAAGAAAACCAUAAUUGAAAGCAUUUAAACGUCUAAGCAUUUUUACAGAAAACUCGUUAGAAAUAACAACCCUAGGAUUUAGAACAUAGUCAUGAGGAUAAGUCGAACAAACAAAAAAAUUAGGGUUAAACACCUAAAAAGUUACUAUUUUUCAGAAACAUAAAGGGAUUAAACCCUAACUUUAGAGAAGACGAAAAUUGGUUAAUAAUAAGAAAACACAUAAAGUUUUUAAAGAGAAAUAACAAAUAAACUUAAAAUUGUCUCACAUCUACAAGUACCUGAACAGAUUCGAGCAACAAGAGACUAGGGCUUUAAAAGAAUGACUGAGAUGAAAGAAAAUAUGGUUUGGAACCAUAGAUUCGAGCUAUAAACACGAAGAUAAUAGUACUCACAAAUGGAGAUGAUCAUAGGUAGGUCCGUAAAAAGGUUUUUGAAUGAAUCUGAGUUGAAUAUCCUUGAGUUUCCUCUAUAUAACAACAAAAUCGAACAACCAAAAGAGGUAUGAGAUCGGUAUGGGCCGGAAAUCACCAGAUGAACCCUUAUCUGGUCAAGAAUCGAAAGGUUUAAGGGUUUUUUCGAGUGAUGUCCCUCCAGGGUUUGAGAGUGUCUUACAGAGAAGAAAGGAGGAUAUGAUUUGGGGGCAGCGCAAUUGGAGAGAAUGGGUAGGGUUUGGG
rnacentral:lncRNA from 1 species